rnacentral:rRNA from 1 species
GGUGUGACUGCGUACCUUUUGUAUAAUGGGUCAGCGACUUAUAUUCUGUAGCAAGGUUAACCGUAUAGGGGAGCCGAAGGGAAACCGAGUCUUAACUGGGCGUUAAGUUGCAGGGUAUAGACCCGAAACCCGGUGAUCUAGCCAUGGGCAGGUUGAAGGUUGGGUAACACUAACUGGAGGACCGAACCGACUAAUGUUGAAAAAUUAGCGGAUGACUUGUGGCUGGGGGUGAAAGGCCAAUCAAACCGGGAGAUAGCUGGUUCUCCCCGAAAGCUAUUUAGGUAGCGCCUCGUGAACUCAUCUUCGGGGGUAGAGCACUGUUUCGGCUAGGGGGCCAUCCCGGCUUACCAACCCGAUGCAAACUACGAAUACCGAAGAAUGUUAUCACGGGAGACACACGGCGGGUGCUAACGUCCGUCGUGAAGAGGGAAACAACCCAGACCGCCAGCUAAGGUCCCAAAGUCAUGGUUAAGUGGGAAACGAUGUGGGAAGGCACAGACAGCCAGGAUGUUGGCUUAGAAGCAGCCAUCAUUUAAAGAAAGCGUAAUAGCUCACUGGUCGAGUCGGCCUGCGCGGAAGAUGUAACGGGGCUAAACCAUGCACCGAAGCUGCGGCAGCGACACU